GCGUAGGAAUCUACCCGGUAGUGGGGGACAACAUGGGGAAACUCAUGCUAAUACCGCAUACGCCCUGAGGGGGAAAGCGGGGGAUCUUCGGACCUCGCGCUAUCGGAAGAGCCUGCGUAGGAUUAGCUAGUUGGUGGGGUAAAGGCCCACCAAGGCGACGAUCCUUAGCUGGUCUGAGAGGAUGAUCAGCCACACUGGGACUGAGACACGGCCCAGACUCCUACGGGAGGCAGCAGUGGGGAAUAUUGCGCAAUGGAGGAAACUCUGACGCAGCCAUGCCGCGUGUGUGAAGAAGGCCUUCGGGUUGUAAAGCACUUUCAAUUGGGAAGAAAAGCUGCAAGUUAAUACCUUGUAGCCCUGACAUUACCUUUAGAAGAAGCACCGGCUAACUCCGUGCCAGCAGCCGCGGUAAUACGGAGGGUGCGAGCGUUAAUCGGAAUUACUGGGCGUAAAGCGCGCGUAGGCGGUUAGUUAAGUCAGCUGUG
rnacentral:rRNA from 1 species